rnacentral:tRNA from 1 species
GGGGCCGUGGUGUAACGGCAGCACUGCGGAUUUUUAAUCCGCCCGGAGAAGGUUCGAAUCCUUCCGACCCCA